rnacentral:rRNA from 1 species
UACGUAGGGGGCAAGCGUUGUCCGGAUUUAUUGGGCGUAAAGAGCGUGUAGGCGGCCAUACAGGUCAGCUGUGAAAACUCGAGGCUCAACCUCGAGACGUCGGUUGAAACCGUAUGGCUAGAGUCCGGAAGAGGAGAGUGGAAUUCCCGGUGUAGCGGUGAAAUGCGCAGAUAUCGGGAAGAACACCUAUGGCGAAGGCAGCUCUCUGGGACGGUACUGACGCUGAGACGCGAAAGCGUGGGGAGCAAACGGG